CACCGCGGUUAUACGAGUAACCCAAGUUGAUACAAUUACCGGCGUAAAGCGUGGUUAAGAUAAACCAAAAAAUUAAAGCCGAACCGCCUCAAAGCUGUUAUACGCUUCCGAGCGUGAGAAGCCCAACCACGAAAGUGGCUUUAUAACCUCUGAAUCCACGAAAGCUAGGAAA
rnacentral:rRNA from 1 species